rnacentral:rRNA from 1 species
CUUAGAACGAACGCUGGCGGCGUGCUUAACACAUGCAAGUCGAACGCGAAAGGGACUUCGGUCCUGAGUAAAGUGGCGCACGGGUGAGUAACGCGUAGAUAACCUGUCUUCAUGUCUGGAAUAAUACGCCGAAAGGGGUACUAAUACCGGAUAUUCUUGCUUUUCAUAAGUUAUGCAAGCAAAGGUGGCCUCUGCAUAUGCUACUGCAUGAAGAGGGGUCUGCGUACCAUUAGCUAGUAGGUGGGGUAAUGGCCUACCUAGGCGACGAUGGUUAGCGGGUCUGAGAGGAUGAUCCGCCACACUGGCACUGGAACACGGGCCAGACUCCUACGGGAGGCAGCAGUGAGGAAUAUUGCGCAAUGGGGGAAACCCUGACGCAGCGACGCCGCGUGAGUGAGGAAAGGCCUUCGGGUCGUAAAGCUCUGUCAAGAGGAAAGAAGUGUACAAUGGCUAAUACCUGUUGUAUUUGACGGUACCUCUAAAGGAAGCACCGGCUAACUCCGUGCCAGCAGCAGC